rnacentral:misc_RNA from 1 species
GAUGAGAACGCAGCGAAAUGCGAUAAGUAGUGUGAAUUGCAGAAUUCAGUGAAUCAUCGAAUCUUUGAACGCACAUUGCGCCCCUUGGUAUUCCAUGGGGCAUGCCUGUUCGAGCGUCAUUUGUACCUUCAAGCUCUGCUUGGUGUUGGGUGUUUGUCUCGCCUCUGCGUGUAGACUCGCCUCAAAACAAUUGGCAGCCGGCGUAUUGAUUUCGGAGCGCAGUACAUCUCGCGCUUUGCACUCAUAACGACGACGUCCAAAAGUACAUUUUUACACUCUUGACCUCGGAUCAGGUAGGGAUACCCGCUGAACUUAAGCAUAUCAAUAAGCGGAGGA